rnacentral:tRNA from 1 species
GCGGUUGUAGCUCAGUUGGUAGAGCCCCGGAUUGUGAUUCCGGUUGUCGCGGGUUCAAAUCCCGUCAGUCGCC